rnacentral:rRNA from 1 species
GGUUGCGAUCAUACCAGCACUAAUGCACCGGAUCCCAUCAGAACUCCGCAGUUAAGCGUGCUUGGGCGAGAGUAGUACUAGGAUAGGUGACCCACCUGGGAAGUCCUCGUGUUGCAACCC